rnacentral:rRNA from 1 species
CACAUGCAAGUCGAACGAGAGAUGAGGAGCUUGCUCUUCAAAUCGAGUGGCGAACGGGUGAGUAACGCGUGAGGAACCUGCCUCAAAGAGGGGGACAACAGUUGGAAACGACUGCUAAUACCGCAUAAGCCCACGGCUCGGCAUCGAGCAGGGGGAAAAGGAGCAAUCCGCUUUGAGAUGGCCUCGCGUCCGAUUAGCUAGUUGGUGAGGUAACGGCCCACCAAGGCGACGAUCGGUAGCCGGACUGAGAGGUUGAACGGCCACAUUGGGACUGAGACACGGCCCAGACUCCUACGGGAGGCAGCAGUGGGGAAUAUUGCACAAUGGGGGAAACCCUGAUGCAGCGACGCCGCGUGGAGGAAGAAGGUCUUCGGAUUGUAAACUCCUGUUGUUGAGGAAGAUAAUGACGGUACUCAACAAGGAAGUGACGGCUAACUACGUGCCAGCAGCCGCGGUAAAACGUAGGUCACAAGCGUUGUCCGGAAUUACUGGGUGUAAAGGGAGCGCAGGCGGGAGAACAAGUUGGAAGUGAAAUCCAUGGGCUCGACCCAUGAACUGCUUUCAAAACUGUUUUUCUUGA